rnacentral:rRNA from 1 species
CAGCAGUAGCCGCGGGAAUACGUAGGGUGCGAGCGUUAAUCGGAAUUACUGGGCGUAAAGCGUGCGCAGGCGGUUCGUUAAGACAGAUGUGAAAUCCCCGGGCUUAACCUGGGAACUGCAUUUGUGACUGGCGAGCUAGAGUAUGGCAGAGGGGGGUAGAAUUCCACGUGUAGCAGUGAAAUGCGUAGAGAUGUGGAGGAAUACCGAUGGCGAAGGCAGCCCCCUAGGCCAAUACUGACGCUCAUGCACGAAAGCGUGGGGAGCAAACAGGAUUAGAUACCCCAGUAGUCCCUGUCUCUUAUAC